rnacentral:rRNA from 1 species
GACGAACGCUGGCGGCAUGCCUAACACAUGCAAGUCGAACGGGACCUUCGUGUCUAUGUGCGCACCUCGACUUAAGGCGGGGUGACCUACCCUUAGGUUCCGUGUAACUGCCCGUAGGGUAUGCUAAUACCAGUUAAUGUCUUCGGGGCAAAGAUUUAUUGCUGUUGGAUGGGCGGUUGUUGGAUUCGCUGGUUGGGAGGGUACAAGCCGACUAAGGCGAGGAUAGAUAGCUGGUCGGAGAGGAUGAUCAGCCACACUGGGACUGAGACACGGCCCAGAUACCGAAGGGAGGCAGGAGUGGGGAAUAUUGGACAGUGGGAGAAAGACUGAUCAAGCAAUGCCGCGUGAGGGAUGAAGGCGUGAGGGUUGUAAAGCUCUUUUACCAGGGAUGAUAAUGACAGUACCGGGAGAAUGAGCUACGGCUAACUCCGUG